rnacentral:rRNA from 1 species
GAUGAACGCUGGCGGCGUGCCUAAUACAUGCAAGUCGAGCGAACGGACGAGAAGCUUGCUUCUCUGAUGUUAGCGGCGGACGGGUGAGUAACACGUGGAUAACCUACCUAUAAGACUGGGAUAACUUCGGGAAACCGGAGCUAAUACCGGAUAAUAUUUUGAACCGCAUGGAUCAAAAGUGAAAGACGGUCUUGCUGUCACUUAUAGAUGGAUCCGCGCUGCAUUAGCUAGUUGGUAAGGUAACGGCUUACCAAGGCAACGAUGCAUAGCCGACCUGAGAGGGUGAUCGGCCACACUGGAACUGAGACACGGUCCAGACUCCUACGGGAGGCAGCAGUAGGGAAUCUUCCGCAAUGGGCGAAAGCCUGACGGAGCCACGCCGCGUGAGUGAUGAAGGUCUUCGGAUCGUAAAACUCUGUUAUUAGGGAAGAACAUCUGUGUAAUUAACUGUGCACAUCUUGACGGUACCUAAUCAGAAAGCCCCGGCUAACUACGUG